GGAAGGAUCAUUGAAUCUAUCAAACCCACCCUGGUCACACUUUGUAGCCCCUCGGUAGUAAUGCCGGUAAGGCAUCGAUGUUCUCUCUUCCGGGAGAACAUCGGUGGACAGAGUUGAAGGCCUCCUUCAUUUUAUUGAUGAAGAAGGUAUUGAACAUCCCCCUAGGGGGGUGUUCAAUUUUUUUUCCUGUUGGUGUUUCUUAUAUCUCCACCCCUUAAAUCUGAAAAAGGUACUAGCAAUUGCUGGUGCCAUCAAAGGAAAGACAACUCUCAACAACGGAUAUCUUGGCUCCCGUAUCGAUGAAGAACGCAGCGAAAUGCGAUACGUAAUGUGAAUUGCAGAAUCAUGUGAAUCAUCGAAUUUUUGAACGCAUAUUGCGCCCGAGCCUCGGCAAGGGCAUGUCUGCCUCAGCGUCGGUUUACCCCUCCAAAAACUCCUCCUUUAACCAGGCAAGAGCUAUUGGGAAAUGACCUCCCCUGCCACCUAUUGGCGGCAAGGCUGGUCGAAAUAAAUGUCAGUGUCUCCAAUAAAACAAAGGCACACUAUGGUAGGCAAUCCAUCUGGGUUGCACUGCCUGUGAGUCUUUGGGAAGGCAUUGUUCACGCAGGAGUUGGCUUAAAUGUGCCAACAGCCAUUAACCAUCUGACCUGAGAUCAGACAAGAGCACCCGCUGAACUUAAGCAUAUCAAUAAGCGGAGGAGAAGAAACUAACAAGGAUUCCCUUAGUAGCGGCGAGCGAACCGGGAAGUGCCCAACUUGUAAAUCUCUGGCCUUUGGCCGGCGAAUUGUAGUCUAUAGAAGCGCCCUCUGCGGCAGAUCGGCCUCAAGUCCCUUGGAAGAGGGUGUCAGAGAGGGUGAGAGCCCCGUCGGCGCCGAUUUUUGCCGCUCCACGAGACGCUUUCGAAGAGUCGGGUUGUUUGGGAAUGCAGCCCAAAGCCGGUGGUAAAUCCCAUCUAAGGCUAAAUACUGACGGGAGACCGAUAGCGAACAAGUACCGUGAGGGAAAGAUGAAAAGAACUUUGAAAAGAGAGUUAAAAGUGCUUGAAAUUGUUGAGGGGGAAGGGAUUGGAGGCUGUAGGUGCGCUCGGGCUAAUGGGUCACGUCAGUGUCUCUGUAUGUGCCGAGUGCCGGUCAGCAUCGGUUGUCAGGUCGGGAGAAAAGCGUCCAUUCGUUGGGCGCCCAUGCCGACUUGGCGAUCGAGGAGUAAAGGUACCCCGGUCCUUUUGGAUCAGUGCCUUCACGAUGCUGGCAGAAGGCUUCCAAUCCGCCCGUCUUGAAACACGGACCAAGGAGUCUAACAUGUAUGCGAGCGGGUGGGUGGCAAACCCAUGACGCGUAAGUAACCUGACUGGUGGGAGGGCGUAAGCCCGCACCAUCGACCGACCAUGAUCUUCUGUGAAAGGUUUGAGUACGAGCAUGCCUGUUGGGACCCGAAAGAUGGUGAACUAUGCCUGAGCAGGGCGAAGCCAGAGGAAACUCUGGUGGAGGCUCGUAGAUGUGCUGACGUGCAAAUCGCUUUUCGGACUUGGGUAUAGGGGCGAAAGACUAAUCGAACCAUCUAGUAGCUGGUUCCCUC
rnacentral:misc_RNA from 1 species